GAUGAAUGCCUACAAAAAAGCAUUACAACGUGGCUAUAACAUAUAAGAGAAAAGUAUACAGGCAGUGACACAAGGAUAUAAGGCUUGCACUAUUUCAAUGAUGAGCACAGACUAUAAGCAUGGCAGAAGCUAUUCAAGCCAAUGCUCCUAGCCCACAUGAAGAAACUACUUAAAAUUUUUAACGAAGCCCGACUGAUAAAUGGCAAGAUAAUGGAUGAAGAAGCGAAGGAGACAAGUUAUUUUAUAUACUUCUGAAGUUUAUUAUAACUGAGAACAAUUCAACUUUGAGUUGUCCCAAGAAAGC
rnacentral:misc_RNA from 1 species